rnacentral:ribozyme from 1 species
AACUGGGUGAAUUGCAAGAAGGCUAAGGUAAAAUAAAACCGAUUGGUUUAAUAUUUACUAUGCUAAUUUGCAGCGAAGUUCUUCGAAUAGGCUCUAAAAAAAAUGUAGAAGAAAACGUUCAACGACUAGAGAAUGAGGAUUUCUUACCAAUAAUUUCUCCACGAGCGCCCAGC